UACGGGGGGGGGAAGCGUUGUUCGGAAUUACUGGGCGUAAAGGGCUCGUAGGCGGCCAACUAAGUCGGACGUGAAAUCCCUCAGCUUAACUGGGGAACUGCGUCCGAUACUGGAUGGCUUGAAUCCGGGAGAGGGAUGUGGAAUUCCAGGUGUAGCGGUGAAAUGCGUAGAUAUCUGGAGGAACACCGGUGGCGAAGGCGGCAUCCUGGACCGGUAUUGACGCUGAGGCGCGAAAGCUAGGGGAGCAAACGGG
rnacentral:rRNA from 1 species